AGUUUCUCAAUGGGAAGAGUGUAGAUGUAGUAAACCGUCAUGUUCCCUCAGUCGGUGACUUUCCAGCUUUGCUUAAUCUGACUUGCUUAGGAUAAGAAAUUAGAAGCAGGUUCUGAUUUUUUGUUUGUUUCUUCUUAAUUCUGUGUGAGAUCAGAAGAUCCACAGAAGGUGGAAAAUGUCCACUGUAACAUCUGCGUUGCACUGCUGGAUUUGGAUGUCUGCCUGCCUCCUUGUGCCUGUGUCUACAUUCUCAUUAAGCGCAACAGUUCAAUCUGGAAUCAAUGUCCAUCUGUCAUGUUUUGCUUCUGUCUAUGACAAUAACAACAUCACUGCUGUACAGUGGAGCAGAAGUGACCUGGAGCCAGAAUAUGUCCUUUUGUAUCAGGAUGAGCAGUUUGUUACAGACAACCAGCAUCCAUCCUUUGUGAACCGGGUGGAUCUGGAGGACAGACAGAUGGAGGAUGGAGACGUGUCUUUGAUUCUGAAGGAUGUGACGACUGCUGAUAAUGGAACAUAUGAGUGUCGUGUCCAGUUGGCGGGAACAAACCGUGAAAAGAGAGCUGUUUUCAAGGGUAACCCCAUUUGCAGUGUAAACCUGAGUGUUGAUCCUCCAGGUCCCCCGGACAUUCACAAAAAGGAUGGAGGAUUCAGAAUUAGAGUUGUUAUACAUCCAGCUAGUUUGACAGUUUUUAUUUUGCUUGUUGUUGGUGCAAUUGUUGGCUGUGUGAGCUGCAGAAAAUAUAGACAACGGCAGAGUCAAAGUUCUUAGUCUCAGACCUUUAAACAGCUAAAGUGUGAGUCAAACACAUCCUGAAUUUGGUGAUCAGUGUCUUAACACAAGAACAUUUUCUUUAUUUGGGCAUGUCAAGAACUUGUAACAGAACUUCAUCAUGAUGAAAAAUAAGAAUAAUAAAGAUUUCUUCAUCUCAAAA
ensembl:lncRNA